rnacentral:rRNA from 1 species
AUUGAACGCUGGCGGCAGGCCUAACACAUGCAAGUCGAGCGGAUGAAGGGAGCUUGUUCCUGGAUUCAGCGGCGGACGGGUGAGUAAUGCCUAGGAAUCUGCCUGGUAGUGGGGGAUAACGUCCGGAAGCGGGCGCUAAUACCGCAUACGUCCUGAGGGAGAAAGUGGGGGAUCUUCGGACCUCACGCUAUCAGAUGAGCCUAGGUCGGAUUAGCUAGUUGGUGGGGUAAAGGCCUACCAAGGCGACGAUCCGUAACUGGUCUGAGAGGAUGAUCAGUCACACUGGAACUGAGACACGGUCCAGACUCCUACGGGAGGCAGCAGUGGGGAAUAUUGGACAAUGGGCGAAAGCCUGAUCCAGCCAUGCCGCGUGUGUGAAGAAGGUCUUCGGAUUGUAAAGCACUUUAAGUUGGGAGGAAGGGCAGUAAGUUAAUACCUUGCUGUUUUGACGUUACCAACAGAAUAAGCACCGGCUAACUUCGUG